UUCAUGCAUGUUGUUGUUGGAUUGUUGUUGUAGUUGAAGUAAAGAGUUAGCCGUGAGUGAGGUGAAGUCAUGAUUGAUUUCAUUUUGCAUGUAUUGUUGAUGAAUUGAAUAUGUAUCAACAUAGGCAAAUGAACAAAGAUUUGUAGAAGUUUGGUUGUGAUGUUGUAUGUUGGAUAUGGGACUGUUUUUUUUUCUUGAAAUGAAAAUGAGCCGUGAGUUGAAGGUUCUAAUGAAGUCAUGCUUUAUCUUCUUGAACAUGUAUUGGAAAUGGAUUGAAUGUAUUGUAGUUGGAUAAACGGAUGAAGAUCACGAAAUUGUGGGAAGGGUGUUGUAGCCGUGUAAAAAGGGACUGUUUUAGGGGAGAUUUAGGGACUGUUUUGUGUCACAUUUGGAUUGUUGUUGUUAUGGACAUUGUGGUGCAUUGUAUGCAUGUUGAAUAUGUGAAUUGAGGUGUUAAAGAAAUGAAUUAUGAUGAAGUGUAUAGGCAGUCCAAAACUGUGGACAGUUUUGAUGUUAGAAGUGAAUUUGUGUGUGUUGAAUGUUGAUUCUUGUUGCAAACGUUUAGUGAAAGUAAAGUGCAUUGAUUCAAGCUGAAACUGAAAUGAUGGUGGGCUGUUAUAAGAAUGGAAAUGAUGCUAAAACAGUUCCAAAAAUCAUGAAAGUAAUGUCAUUAAACGUGUUGUUGUUGUUGCAAGUUAAAACUGGAAAAUUGCUAAGUGAGAAUGGAAAUGCUAUGUGUGUUGUUUAGCCAUGUGUAUGAAACAGUUUUGAAUGGUGUAUGGACUGCCCAAGUUCCCUAAGUCAUGUUUAAACAAGUCUUGAUUAAUAUAUGAAAGAACGAUUAGCAAUGUUAGCUUGUAACGCUAGUUGGUUUGAAUGCGAACGAAACGUCGUUUAAUUGUUAGAAAGGAAUUGUGAGUGUCACAAUACGUAUUGAAUGCCCUUGUAGACUAAUUGUAGUUCUUCACAUCUUGAUAUAGGAUAAGUGUUUUUGGGCAGCAAGUACAAGUUAGAAUACAACUAAACGCAAAAGGUACAGACGCUCGUUUCGGAGAUCCGCCAGCUUAGGACACUAUUUCAGCUAUUUUGGACUGCUCCUUUGUUCCGGAGCUAGCUUGUGGUAUAACUCCCUUAUGUUGUAUUCGUAGGUGUUUAUUUGGGUAUGGCGGGGCCCUGUCCCGCCACAUAAUACGGUCAUUACUCUUAGAGGUCUGUGGACAUCGGUGUGGGUCUGUUUGUAGUUGUUGAUGCGUUUUAUGUCUAUGACUUAUGUUUGGGGCGUACCCAUUCGUAAUGGCAGCCUUGUCGGCUCGCACAUGUAUAUGUUGUUCUGUUGGCCCUGUGUGGCCUUUGUUGGAAUUUGCUGUGUACAGGGUUAUUUUGGAUAAGUCCGAAAAACAAAGGAAACUCUGCCGAAAUUUUCUUUGAAAAUCUUAUAAAUUUGAAACACCGCCUUGUCGGCUUCUGUUA